rnacentral:lncRNA from 1 species
UUAAAUAAAAGGGGACGAAAAAUCAUUUUCCGCAGUUUUACAAUUCAAUCUUCCUCUUUCUCUUUCUUCUCUCUUUUUAGGCCUCUCUCUCUCUAAUCUUUCUCAAUUUCUUCCUCUUUUCUUCACCUCUCGACUUCUCGAUUUAUCGCUUCGAUUAAGGUAUACUUUUUUUGCUUUUUGAUUAUUUUUGGUUUUUCUUUCUCCCAUAAUAAUUGAUUUUAAUUUUAUGUUCUUCUCUUGUUAUUUCUAUAAUAAUAAUAAUAAUAAUAAUAAUUGUUUUUUAAUCGGGUGAUUCUAGGCCUUUUUUUUCCUGGGCUUCGAAUUUGAAACUGAAGAUCGGG